GACGAACGCUGGCGGCGUGCUUAACACAUGCAAGUCGAACGGAAAGGCCCUGCUUUUGUGGGGUUCUCGAUUGGCGAACGGGUGAGUAACACGUUUGUAACCUGCCCUUUACUUUGUGUUAACUUCUGGAAACUUGUUCUAAUACCCGAUAGGAUCUCCUGCUGCAUGGUUUGGGUUUGUAAGUUUCGGCGGUUGGGGAUGGAUUCGCUGCUUAUCAGCUUGUUGGUUGGGUAGUGGCUUACCAAGGCUUUGACGGGUAGCCGGCCUGUGAGGGUGACCGGGCAGAAUGGGACUGAGAUAAGGAACAGAAGGCAACGGGAGGCAGCAGAGGGGAAUAUUGCAGAAUGGGAGGAAGCAGGAUGCAGAAACGCCGCGUGCGGGAUGAAGGCCGUCGGGUUGUAAACAGAUUGGGAAUGUGACGAAGAGUGAGUGACGGUAAUGGGUAAAGAAGCAACGGCUAACUACGUG
rnacentral:rRNA from 1 species